CCUACGGGUGGCUGCAGUGGGGAAUAUUGGACAAUGGGCGAAAGCCUGAUCCAGCCAUGCCGCGUGUGUGAAGAAGGCCUUCGGGUUGUAAAGCACUUUCAGUGGGGAAGAAAGCCUUGGGGCUAAUACCCUCGAGGAAGGACAUCACCCGCAGAAGAAGCACCGGCUAACUCCGUGCCAGCAGCCGCGGUAAUACGGAGGGUGCGAGCGUUAAUCGGAAUUACUGGGCGUAAAGCGCGCGUAGGCGGUCUGAUAAGCCGGUUGUGAAAGCCCCGGGCUCAACCUGGGAACGGCAUCCGGAACUGUCAGGCUAGAGUGCAGGAGAGGAAGGUAGAAUUCCCGGUGUAGCGGUGAAAUGCGUAGAGAGCGGGAGGAAUACCAGUGGCGAAGGCGGACUUCUGGACUGACACUGACGCUGAGGUGCGAAAGCGUGGGUAGCAAACAGGAUUAGAUACCCCAGUAGUC
rnacentral:rRNA from 1 species